AUAAUAAAUAAAUUGUGUUUUCAUAUCUCCAAGUGCUAUCGGUUAUACGCAUUAUUGACAACAAAAGAGCUCAUAAUUUUGACUAUGUAUGGAUGUGCGAGCAAGCCUGCAGUCUACUGCUAACAGGACAGAAAAUGUAAUACUUAACGCAACGUAAAUACUUAAUGCAACUUAAACACAAUGAUGCCGGCCGAUAAAAUUGUUAUAUUUACAAUGUGGCACACACACCCAUAUUAUGUAUUAAGCUAUGUUAGCAAUGACAAGCUUGUACUAAGAUUUUAAUGCUUCAAAGACAACAUUUUUUUAUUGGUCCUUCAAUCAAGAUAGCUUUGUUAAGAUUUGUGAAAGUUUAGAUCAUUUCAUGCCCGCAAUUAAAGCGUAACCGACGAUAUGACAAUUACACCUCUUCGUCCAGGAAUAGGCAUAAAUUUGAUUACAAUUUGCGUAUUCGGUUUUAAUUAACUUGUGCUAUUUUCGAUUAUUGCAGAGUCAAAGAUGAAUGAAAAAAAUGCUCGUAAUUCAAAACUACAAUAAACAAAUUAAUUUUGGAAAUUAAAUGCGAGAAGGACAACGACGCUCCUAAAAUCGAUGAAAAGUCAGCGUUAACAUAAAGAAAACAAAGGCUUACCUUGCUGAGAGGAGAAUGAUGAUAAGCAAAC